UACGUAGGGUGCAAGCGUUGUCCGGAAUUAUUGGGCGUAAAGAGCUCGUAGGCGGUCUGUCGCGUCGGCUGUGAAAACCCGGGGCUCAACCCCGGGCCUGCAGUCGAUACGGGCAGACUAGAGUGCGGUAGGGGAGACUGGAAUUCCUGGUGUAGCGGUGAAAUGCGCAGAUAUCGGGAGGAACACCUGAGGCGAAGGCGGGCUACUGGGCCGAUACUGACGCUGAUGUGCGAAAGCCAGGGGAGCGAACGGG
rnacentral:rRNA from 1 species